rnacentral:piRNA from 1 species
UGGCCUUGGUUAAGCUUUCUACUGUGGC